rnacentral:rRNA from 1 species
GACAGAGGGUGCAAACGUUGUUCGGAAUUACUGGGCGUAAAGCGCGUGUAGGCGGCUUCGCAAGUCGGGUGUGAAAUCCCACGGCUCAACCGUGGAAGUGCAUUCGAAACUGCAAGGCUAGAGUCCUGGAGAGGAAGGUGGAAUGCUUGGUGUAGAGGUGAAAUUCGUAGAUAUCAAGCGGAACACCGGUGGCGAAGGCGACCUUCUGGACAGUGACUGACGCUGAGACGCGAAAGCGUGGGGAGCAAACAGGAUUAAGA